CUGGGAGGUGCGAGCGAUAAGAGAGAACAAAGUUAGAGAGGCGAAGGUUACUUCUUGUCCUGGAACCAGAGGCAUGAGGUGGACCUUUUGGGAUGAGAGCCAGAGAAAGGCCGUAAGAUCUGUCCUCCCUGCUUGCCAGCUACAAGCUUCUCAUUGCCUGAGAUGACCUGGAGCUGGCCCAGCACCCGUCAACCUAGCACCGGAGAGCUCCCCAUUUUGGGCCAGGGAUGUGCCGAAGCUGACACCCGAGAAGUCACCUAGGACUACCUCCUAACCAAGGACAGGAGGCCCAGGCAGCCUGACGCACUGGUUCCCACGCAAGUUCAUCUUCAACCCCUAAACAC